GGUUCGAUCAUGGCUCAGAUUGAACGCUGGCGGUAGGAUGCUUUACACAUACCGUCGAACGGCAGCACGGACUUCGGUCUGGUGGCGAGCGAACAGGUGGUGUAUCCGGAACGUGCCUAGUAGCGAGGAUAACUACGCGGCGUAGCUAAUGCCGCACAUGCAACCCUUCCCGGACAGGGGACCUUCUGGCCUCGCACUAUUGAAGCGGCCGAUAUCGGAUUAGCUAGUUGGUGGGGUAACGGCUCACCCAGGCGACGAUCCGUAGCUGGUUUGAGAGGACGACCAGCCACGCUGGGACUGGGGCCCGUUUGGCCGUGGAACUCGGGGAGGCAGCAGUGGGGAAUUUUGGACCUGAUAGGAAACCCUGAUCCAGCCAUCCCGCGUGCGAUGAAGGCCUUCGGGUUGGGGCGGAAAGAAACGGCGCAGGACCGAUACCCGUGCAACUGACGAUACCACAGAGAAUAAGCACCGGCUAACUACGUGCCAGCAGCCGCGGUAUUACGUAGGGUGCAGGGCGUUAAUCGGAAUUACUGGGCAUCAGCGUGCGCAGGCAGUUUUGAAGAAAAGAUCAAAUCCCAGGGCUGACUUUGGAACUGCAUUUUUAACUACCGAGCUAGAGUGUGUCGGGGGUGGAAUUCACGGUGUGUAGCAGUGAAUUGCGUAGAUAUGCGGAGGAACACCGAUGGCGAGCAACCUCCUGGGAUAACACUGGCUUAACUCCUGCACGAAAGCGUGGGGAGCAAACAGGAUUAGAUACCCUGAUGAUCAUUUAACGAAUAUCAACUAGCUGUUGGGGCCUUCGGGCCUUGGUAGCGCAACUAACGCGUGAAGUUGACCGCCUGGGGAGUACGGUCGCAAGAUUAAAACUCAAAGGAAUUGACGGGGACCCGCACAAGCGGUGGAUGAUGUGGAUUAAUUGUCGAUGCAACGCAAAAAGGCAUUUACACCGGGCCAUGUCGCGGAUCGAAAGUUUGGGAGUAUCUUGGGAUGAAAUUUACCGAUGCGUGCAUGGCUGUCGUCAGCUCGUGUGUCGUGGUGGAUGUUGGGUUAAGUCCUGCAGCAGGCGCAGGCGGUAUCGUGGAUAACGGCUACGACGAGGCACUCUAAUGAGACUGCCGGUGACAAACCGGAAGGGUGGGGAUGACGUCAGGUCCUCAUGGCCCUUAUGGGUAGGGCUUCACGUCAUGCAAUGGUCGGGACGGAAGGUCGCCAAGCCCGCGAGAAGGCCAAUCGAACCCGAUCGUAGUCGGAUCGCAGUCUGCAACUCGACUGCGUGAAGUCGGAAUCGCUAGUAAUCGCGGAUCGGGUAUCCGUGGUCGUUCCCGGGUCUUGUGACAACCCGUCCCACCACCAUGGGAGUGGGUUUUACCAGAAGUAGUUAGCCUGAUCGGUGACUGUUGCAGUAAGUUGAUGACUGGGGGUGAAGUCGUAACAAAUGAUUCGAUGUUUUAUUCUGAUGCUCCCGGAUAAUAUUGU
rnacentral:rRNA from 1 species